AUUUUUUAAUAAGUCAUUGUGUAAUCUCUGUCUAAUCCAUACAUCCAGGGAAGGCCAAGCUAUAGGUAGCCAAGUACCCUUAUUCAGCGUUAAUGUUCUCAAAUAUGAUUAAACACUGAGUGGAGGAACAGUACCAGCGGACUCCAGUCACUGUAAAAAAUAUUCAGUGAGAUGAAAAGGUUAUUGUGCCAAAAGCGUACCUUUAAGAUUUUAUUGUUGUAAGUAGGCAAGUGAUCCAACCAAAUAGUAACAAUAGCAUCACAUACUAAGAAUAAGUGUCUUUUCCUACAG